CGAUGGUUCGGUGGUAUCAGAGCCAAGAGUGAAAGAAUAGGAAUGGACCUAGAGACCCUUACGAUUGGAAGACCUUAAGGAUCUAGGAAACGUGAGUGACGUGGAAUUAAAGUUAGCGAAAGCAUGUGAUUGGGUUAAGUUGGGACGUCUCUAAUGUGAUUAGAGGCUAAGUCUAAUUUUCGUUUAUCCUCUACUUCUAGUGUUGUGUCGGGCGGCCGACGACAUGACGUUUGGGGCAAGGAUGAAUGUGCAUGUUGCUUUCGCCGGAUUGGGUAUGGUCGAGUAAUGUUGGUCGUGUGGCUAAUGCGAGUUGCUUCUUUUCAGGAAGCAAUGGCACUUCAUGGACGACCGCAGACAAGGUCGAUGCCGGAGGAGUCGAAUGUGGCGCCCGAGCGAUCCGGAGCAAGUGGCGACGGAGAGCUUAGGGAGCAGAUGGCCGCGCUCAUUGGCGUAGUACGGCAACAAGCGGAGUCUGUUCAACGCCAAGGGGAGCAGAUUCAGCGGCUUCAGGGGGCCUUGGAGCGUCAGCAGGCGGCGGCCUAGGCGGGUGUCGAGCAUGUCGUGCCCCCUGUGGUAGUGCCGGGCGUGGACGAGGGAGCGGCGGCAACGGCGGCUGUCCCAGUUACGGUAGUACCAGCCGGAUCGGGAACCUCAAAUCCCGAUAGUGCGGCGGUAGAGGCGGAGUGAGAGCGCACGUUGGCGGCUCU
rnacentral:lncRNA from 1 species